CAACCCUCAAGCACUGCUUGGUGUUGGGGCACUACGCGCUGAGCGUAGGCCCCGAAAAUCAGUGGCGGGCCCGCCGUGGCUCCGGGCGUAGUAGCAACACCUCGCCCUGGACGCGCGGCGCGCUCCGGCCGUUAAACCCCCCACUACACAGAAGG
rnacentral:misc_RNA from 1 species